rnacentral:rRNA from 1 species
GACAGAGGUGCCGAGCGUUAGGCGGAAUCACUGGGCUUAAAGCGUGUGUAGGCGGAUCGUUAAGUACCUUGUGAAAUCCCCCGGCUCAACCGGGGAACUGCUGGGUAUACUGGCGAUCUUGAGCGGUCUAGGGGCAGAUGGAACAAGUGGUGGAGCGGUGAAAUGCGUAGAUAUCACUUGGAACGCCAAAGGUGAAGACAGUCUGCUGGGGAUCUGCUGACGCUGAGACACGAAAGCCAGGGGAGCGAACGGG